UUGUAGCUCAACUGGUUUAAAACGCACCCCUGAUAAGGGUGAAGUCGGGAAUUCAAGUCUGGCCAAGCCUACCAU
rnacentral:tRNA from 1 species